CAUUGUGGCUAUACCUGCUUGUCAAUGCCUGAUCUUGUCUGAUCCCAGAGGCAGAGCAGGGUUGGGCCUGGUUAGUACUUUGAUGGUAGACCGCUGGGAAUACCGGGUGCCAUAAUGG
rnacentral:rRNA from 1 species